AACGCUAGCUACAGGCUUAACACAUGCAAGUCGAGGGGCAGCAUGGUCUUAGCUUGCUAAGGCCGAUGGCGACCGGCGCACGGGUGAGUAACACGUAUCCAACCUGCCGUCUACUCUUGGACAGCCUUCUGAAAGGAAGAUUAAUACAGGAUGGCAUCAUGAGUCCGCAUGUUCACAUGAUUAAAGGUAUUCCGGUAGACGAUGGGGAUGCGUUCCAUUAGAUAGUAGGCGGGGUAACGGCCCACCUAGUCUUCGAUGGAUAGGGGUUCUGAGAGGAAGGUCCCCCACAUUGGAACUGAGACACGGUCCAAACUCCUACGGGAGGCAGCAGUGAGGAAUAUUGGUCAAUGGGCGAGAGCCUGAACCAGCCAAGUAGCGUGAAGGAUGACUGCCCUAUGGGUUGUAAACUUCUUUUAUAAAGGAAUAAAGUCGGGUAUGGAUACCCGUUUGCAUGUACUUUACGAAUAAGGAUCGGCUAACUCCGUGCCAGCAGCCGCGGUAAUACGGAGGAUCCAAGCGUUAUCCGGAUUUAUUGGGUUUAAAGGGAGCGUAGGCGGGUUGUUAAGUCAGUUGUGAAAGUUUGCGGCUCAACCGUAAAAUUGCAGUUGAUACUGGCGACCUUGAGUGCAACAGAGGUAGGCGGAAUUCGUGGUGUAGCGGUGAAAUGCUUAGAUAUCACGAAGAACUCCGAUUG
rnacentral:rRNA from 1 species